GCUUCGGCCUCCGCAUUGAGAAUGGGGCCCCGCGGGCCCAUUAGCUUGUUGGUGAGGUAACGGCUCACCAAAGGCUUCGAUGGGUAGCUGGUCUGAGAGGACGAUCAGCCACACUGGGACUGAGACACGGCCCAGACUCCUACGGGAGGCAGCAGUGGGGAAUCUUGCACAAUGCGCGAAAGCGUGAUGCAGCAACGCCGCGUGGGGGAAGACGGCCUUCGGGUUGUAAACCCCUUUCAGUUGGGACGAAGCUUCGUCGGUGAAUAGCCGGUUGGAGUGACGGUACCUUCAGAAGAAGCCCCGGCUAACUACGUG
rnacentral:rRNA from 1 species